CUGGAGGUCUGCAGGAGUGUACAGGACCCAAGAGCCAGAGAAUCAUUCCUUUCUCCUAGGAAGAGGCAAUGAGAAGCCAGAGAGAAAAAUCAUGGACAACAGCAUGGGCAAUGGAAUCCUGGGACCGAACGGCUCCUGACAAGAAGACAGGAUCUCACUGCUGGUCUUGAACUCCUGGAUGCAAGUAAUCUUCCCAACUUGGCCUCCCAAAGUGCUGGGAUUAUAGCCAUGAGCCACCGCACCUGGCCAGAAAUAUCUUUAAAGCAGGAAGAAGGAAAUGAUGCAUUACCUAUAAGAAGAAAUGAUUACCUAUAGAAGAAAAUGAUUCAAAUGCAACUGAUUUCUCAUUGUCUGCACAUAAGAAACCAGCAAAAUGUAUUUCAAGUGCUGAAUAUAAAGAAAUGCCAAGCUAGAAUUCCAUCAUCAAUAAAAAUAUCCUUCAAGAACGAAGGGGAUAAGCCAGGCACAAAAAUACAACUACUGCAUAUUCUCACUUAUAUGUGGAAUCUAAAAUAAUAGGAAUAGAGAGCAGAAUGAUAGUUACCAGAGUCUGGGGUUUGGGAAUAUGGGAAGAUAUUGGUUAAAACAUACAAUGGUUCAGUUAGGAGGAAUAAAUAGUAAGUAUUUGAGGUGAUGAAUAUAUUAAUUUGCUUAACUCAAUCAUUCCAUAUUGUAUACAUACAUCAUAGCAUCACUUUGUACUUCAUAAAUAUAUACAAUUAUCAUUUGUCAAUAUUCAAUUAAAAACAGAAUGAACAGAAUGAAGAGGACAUGGAGGCAUUUUCAGAUGAAGAGAAACUAACAGGAUUUUUCAGCAGACUUACUCUAAAUGAAUGGCUACAGGAAAUACUAUAAAAAUAAAGGAAAUGAUAAAAGAAGAAACUUUGUAACAUCAAGAAAGAAGGAAGAACCACCAGUAAACAAAAAUAUGGGUAAAUAAAAUAAAAUUUUUUUUAACUUCUUUAGUUUUCUCUAUUAUCUUUGAUGGUUGAAACAAAAAUUGUAACACUAUCUGAUGUGGUUCUAAACGUAUGCACAGGAAAUACUCAAGAUAACUAUAUCAUAAGUCGGGGAGGGUAAAAGAACAUAAAGGAAAGUAAGGUUUCUGUACUUUACUCAAACUGGUAAAUGAAAAACUGGCAGGCUGUGAUAAAUUACAUGCAUUUAAUGCGAUACCUAGAGCAACCACUAAAAAAAAAAAAAAGCUAUGCAAAGAGAUACAUUCAAAUGCUAUGGAAAAAUAAAAAUGAAAUUUAAAAAAUGUUCAAGAAAGCCACAGGGAGGUAAGAAAAACCAAACAGAAAAAUGGAAAGCAAAGAGGAUAAACAGAAAACAAAAAAGAAAAUGGCAGAAUUAAGCUCUAACACAUAAUUAAUUACAUUAACUAUAAAUGGUCUAGAUAUACAAAAUAAAAGAGAUUGGCAGGGUUGUUUAACAAACAUGACUAAAUUAUAUUCUAUCUGAAGGAAACUAACUUCAAAUAGAAUUAUAAAUGUAUGAUAAAGGAUAUAUUAUGCAAAUAUUAACCAAAGAAAACAAGAGUAACUUUAUUAAUGGUAGAUAAAGUAUACUUCAGAACAAAGACAAUUACCAGAGAUAGAGAUAUUAUAUAAUGACAAAAGGGUCAAUCUAUUAAGAAUAGCAAUUUUAAAUGUGUAUGCAUCGAACAAAAAAGCUGCAAAGCAUGUGAAGCAAAAACUGAUAUAAUUGAAGGGAGAAAUUUUAAAAAGUCUACAAGUAUAGUUAGACACAUCAACCCCUCUCUUGACAAAUAAUAGAACAACUAGACAGAAAAUUAGCAAGAAUAUAGAAGAACUCAACACUACCUUCAACCAACAGGAUCUAGUCAAUACUUACAGAAUAUCCAAACCAACAAUAGUAGAAUAUAUUUUGUUUCCAAGUGCUCACAGAACAUAUGCAAGAUAGACCAUAUCCUCAGCUACACAACAAACCUCAACACAUUCAAAAAAUUGAAAGCAUACAAAAUGUAUUCUCCUAUAGCAAUGGAAUCACACUAGAAAUCAAUAACAGAAAGACAAUAGGAAAAUCUCUAAACACUUGGCAACAAAAAGACAUACUCCAAAAUAAUUCGUGGUUCAAAGAGGGAGUCUCAUGGGAAAUUAAAAAAAAGUUUCAGCUGAAUGAAAGUGAAAACAACAUAUCAAAAUUUGUGGGAUACAGCUAAAGUAAUGCUGGGAGGGCAAUUUAUAGCACAAAAUGCAUAUGUUACAAAAGAGGAAAGGUCUCAAGUCAAUAAUUUAAGCUCUUACCUUCAGAAUCUAGAAAAAGAAGAGCAAAAUAAACCUAAAGCAAGCAGGAGGAAAGAAAUAAUAAAGAAAACAGCUGAAAUCAAUGAAACUGAAAACAGAAAAACAAAUGAGAAAAUCAUUGAAACGAAGAGCUGGUUCUUUGAAAUGAGAAACAAAGUUGACAAACUUCUAGCAUGACUGACAAAGUAAAAAGAAGAUAGCAAUAUUUGGAAUGGAAGAUAUCACUGCAUAUCCUGCAGACAUCAAAAGGAUAUUUAGGGCAUUUUACACCACAGAUUUGACAACACAGACAAAAUAGACCAAUUUUCUUUAAAAAAAAAACACCAGUGACUUCAACUUACCCAAUAUGAAAUGGAUAAUUUGAAUAGUAGUAUAAUUAUUAAAAAAUUAAAUUGAUAACUGAAAAAACCCACAAAACAAAUUUCCAGGCCCAAAUGGUUUCACUGGAGAAUUUUAUAAAAUACUUAAUGAAUUAAGACCAAUUCUUUUGGGAGGCUGAGGUGGGC
rnacentral:lncRNA from 1 species